AUUGAACGCUGGCGGCGGGCCUAACACAUGCAAGUCGAGCGGAAACGAGUUAUCUGAACCUUCGGGGGACGAUAACGGCGUCGAGCGGCGGACGGGUGAGUAAUGCCUAGGAAAUUGCCCUGAUGUGGGGGAUAACCAUUGGAAACGAUGGCUAAUACCGCAUAAUGCCUACGGGCCAAAGAGGGGGACCUUCGGGCCUCUCGCGUCAGGAUAUGCCUAGGUGGGAUUAGCUAGUUGGUGAGGUAAUGGCUCACCAAGGCGACGAUCCCUAGCUGGUCUGAGAGGAUGAUCAGCCACACUGGAACUGAGACACGGUCCAGGCUCCUACGGGAGGCAGCAGUGGGGAAUAUUGCACAAUGGGCGCAAGCCUGAUGCAGCCAUGCCGCGUGUGUGAAGAAGGCCUUCGGGUUGUAAAGCACUUUCAGUCGUGAGGAAGGUAGUGUAGUUAAUAGCUGCAUUAUUUGACGUUAGCGACAGAAGAAGCACCGGCUAACUCCGUGCCAGCAGCCGCGGUAAUACGGAGGGUGCGAGCGUUAAUCGGAAUUACUGGGCGUAAAGCGCAUGCAGGUGGUUUGUUAAGUCAGAUGUGAGAGCCCGGGGCUCAACCUCGGAAUAGCAUUUGAAACUGGCAGACUAGAGUACUGUAGAGGGGGGUAGAAUUUCAGGUGUAGCGGUGAAAUGCGUAGAGAUCUGAAGGAAUACCGGUGGCGAAGGCGGCCCCCUGGACAGAUACUGACACUCAGAUGCGAAAGCGUGGGGAGCAAACAGGAUUAGAUACCCUGGUAGUCCACGCCGUAAACGAUGUCUACUUGGAGGUUGUGGCCUUGAGCCGUGGCUUUCGGAGCUAACGCGUUAAGUAGACCGCCUGGGGAGUACGGUCGCAAGAUUAAAACUCAAAUGAAUUGACGGGGGCCCGCACAAGCGGUGGAGCAUGUGGUUUAAUUCGAUGCAACGCGAAGAACCUUACCUACUCUUGACAUCCAGAGAACUUUCCAGAGAUGGAUUGGUGCCUUCGGGAACUCUGAGACAGGUGCUGCAUGGCUGUCGUCAGCUCGUGUUGUGAAAUGUUGGGUUAAGUCCCGCAACGAGCGCAACCCUUAUCCUUGUUUGCCAGCGAGUAAUGUCGGGAACUCCAGGGAGACUGCCGGUGAUAAACCGGAGGAAGGUGGGGACGACGUCAAGUCAUCAUGGCCCUUACGAGUAGGGCUACACACGUGCUACAAUGGCGCAUACAGAGGGCAGCAAGCUAGCGAUAGUGAGCGAAUCCCAAAAAGUGCGUCGUAGUCCGGAUUGGAGUCUGCAACUCGACUCCAUGAAGUCGGAAUCGCUAGUAAUCGUGGAUCAGAAUGCCACGGUGAAUACGUUCCCGGGCCUUGUACACACCGCCCGUCACACCAUGGGAGUGGGCUGCAAAAGAAGUAGGUAGUUUAACCUUCGGGAGGACGCUUACCACUUUGUGGUUCAUGACUGGGGUG
rnacentral:rRNA from 1 species